AUGACUUAGUGAGGUCUUAGGACCGAGGUGAAGGUGCUUUAACGAGUGCCUACGCUUUGGAAAUUUGAUCGAACUAAGUUAUCUAGAGGAAGUAAAAGUCGUAACAAGGUUUCCGU
rnacentral:rRNA from 1 species